rnacentral:tRNA from 1 species
GCCCAGGUGGCGGAAUCGGCAGACGCACCGGACUUAAAAUCCGUUGGGGAGUUAAAUCCCUGUGCCAGUUCAAGUCUGGCCCUGGGCA